rnacentral:rRNA from 1 species
AAAUUGAAGAGUUUGAUCAUGGCUCAGAUUGAACGCUGGCGGCAGGCCUAACACAUGCAAGUCGAACGGUAACAGGAAGCAGCUUGCUGCUUCGCUGACGAGUGGCGGACGGGUGAGUAAUGUCUGGGAAACUGCCUGAUGGAGGGGGAUAACUACUGGAAACGGUGGCUAAUACCGCAUAACGUCGCAAGACCAAAGAGGGGGACCUUCGGGCCUCUUGCCAUCAGAUGUGCCCAGAUGGGAUUAGCUAGUUGGUGAGGUAACGGCUCACCAAGGCGACGAUCCCUAGCUGGUCUGAGAGGAUGACCAGCCACACUGGAACUGAGACACGGUCCAGACUCCUACGGGAGGCAGCAGUGGGGAAUAUUGCACAAUGGGCGCAAGCCUGAUGCAGCCAUGCCGCGUGUAUGAAGAAGGCCUUAGGGUUGUAAAGUACUUUCAGCGGGGAGGAAGGUGUUG